AAAAAAAUAACAAACAAACUAACCUUCCUUGUUUAUUGAGAAAAAACAACUAACCCUCCUCCUUUUUUGCUCAGAAACAAAGUGUUUUUUAUUCCCUUUCUUCUUCAAAUUUUGUUUCGCAUAUCUUCAUUCUCAAUUCCAAAUUCUCUCCGCCUCCAUUCGCAUCAUAAAAGCCUAAGCUUUGACUCUCAAACCUCGUACAGAUAACGAUGAAUGCCCCGAUAAUCGAUCCUUUGCGAGGGGAUUUCCCUGAAGUUAUAGAAGAGUAUUUAGAACAUGGGGUCAUGAAGUGCAUUGCUUUUAAUCGUCGCGACACUCUUCUUGCUGGUAAUAUUCGCACUUUUAGCUAUUUCCCUUAUGUUUUUUCUGUACUUACUGUUACAGAGUUUACUAUAUAUGCGUGUUUUCGCGAGUUGGUGGAAAUUGGCAUGCCUUUGAUAAUGUGGCUAUCUGGGUAGCCUUGAAAUUAGUUACUGUAGUGGAGCUUACUGUCGCUUAUUUGUCAUCAUGUAGAAUUUCGUCUGUGUAAGUUUUUAAUUCUCUGCCAAAAGAAAAGUUUUUCAUUCUGAUUAAUGAAAAGUGGCUUUGUUUGUCUCAACUUGUCAAUUUUAGGCAUAUAUUUGGGAUUAGUUGUGUUAAGAAAAAUGAAUUAAUUCUAAUUAAUGUUUUGCUCUCUAUUUUGAUUAAUGUACGCAUAUAUGAAGUCGAAAAGAAAAGAAAAAUCUAGAAACGAUUUUUAAAUCAGAUGGAAAUAAAUGGCUUAUUUGAAAGAGGAAGAAGAAGUUAAAGAGGAUGAACACGGAGAAGAAGGAUAAGAACUUAAAGAGCUGUUGUUCCUGGCCCAUGUGAACCUUGGAAGUUCCCUACUAGAGGAGACCUGAAGCUUAACGUUGAUGCAGCUAUUAAUAUUGCUGGUAGAAUUUCAGGUGUCGGAGCUAUUGUUUGGAGUGAAUUUGGCCACAUGGUUGUUGCUUUGUCCAAACCUCUCACAGGGUGUUAUAAGGCUCAUGAGAUGGAAGUCUUGGCUCUUUUUCACAGCCUCCUUUGGGCUUCACAGUUGCAGUUGCCUAUUAAUGAAAUAGAAAUAAAUGCGCUUAAAGUUUCCAUGGCAAUCAAUCAACCCUCGCCUAUGUUAUCUACUUUUGCAUCAAUCAACCCUCGCCUAUGUUAUCUACUUUUGCAGAUAUUAUUGGAAGUUGUAGGUCUUUUUUCAUUUUUUUUCUGGAUUUGUUGUCUUUCAUGUUUGUAGAGAUGCCAAUAAAACUGCUCAUGACUUAGCAAAACAUACUUUUGAGUUGGAUAAAUCUCUGUUUGGUUAAAGGAUGUCCCCUCCCCUAUAUCAUUUGUUGUUGUAAAUGAAUAAGUUUGAUUUAUAAUUACAGGUUUAAUUAUUCCAAAAAAAGAACAUAUUAAAUGUCUUAUUACCAUAGAAGAAUAAGAAUGAUCUAUUAUACUCUUGACCACUUUUACUCUUUUAUUUCCCUUUUAUACAUUAUAUUAAACACUUAAUUACUUUCUAAAAUGAUAUUAUUUAUUUAAUUAAAAUAUAUAUAAUAGUUUAUUAUAAUAAUUAAAAUUUAUUAUAUACUUCAAAUAAAAAAAAAAGUAUAAUAUACUAAAUAAAAGAAAUUAAUAAAAACUAAAUGUACGUGCAUUUGCACGUAACUUCAGUAUAGUAUAUAUAUAUAUAUUAUAGGAAUUUUUUAAGUUUUAACCAAAAAAAAAAUAACAAUAUUACAAAAAUACUUUCAGCUGGCCAAAUAAACAAAUA